UUAGAAAUCUUUUCUUUUACUUUCAGUAUUCUCUCUUUGUAAACACUUUCUCUUUGUAAAAUCUUCCUUUUACUUUUAAUAAAAUAACGAUCUUCCACACUUGUGUAAAUUGGUAGUUGGUAUCAGAGGCCCCCGGAGUAACGAUUCUUGGAGGAAUUCAUAUCAUAAUACUCAUUGUAAGUUCUUAUCUUUAAUUACAAUCCAGUUAAUUUCGUGGUUAUUUAUCUUGAAACCCAUAUAUCUGUUAUUUUGUCUAACUUUUACCUUUUUAAGUCUAGGUGAGAGACGAUAAGCCUUUGUGAGUUAAGACAAAAUAAUAUAACAGACGGUUUUAGGUACCAAAAAUAAAUAACAUGGAAGAAACAGAUUAUUUAUAUAAAGAUAAAACCUACAAUCAUAUUAUGCAUAUAGAUUCUAAACAAGAAAAUAAUAUUUCGACCCUUAGUAAAAGAUUUAAUAGUUUAAUGGAUAUAACCUCUAUAUAUUAUAAUAAAAUAUAUAAUAAAGUCAGUAAUAUAGAAGAAAAAGUAAAUUACAUGGGAGAUAUUAAAGAAUUAGAUUUGAACAACAAAUCUAAAGAAAUUUUAUCAGAAGUUAAUAAUAAAUUAGAUCAGGUUAUUAAUAAUAAUAUGGAAUCAGAUAUAGAUUUAGGUCCCUUAUAUUAUGGUAAUAGUAAUAUAAUUUUAACUUUAUCAGAUGAAGAAGAAGAAACUUCUUCAGAAGAGUCAUCUUCUACUAUUAAUAGAAAUAAAAAAUCUGAAAAACAGAGAAGAAAAAAUAUUAUUCAACAAAAAUAUGAUUUCCAAUCUUAUAAGGAAUUAAUAGAACAUUGGAAAGUCAAAUUUACUAAAAGUACUGAUAAAAAUGAAAGAAUAGAAUACUUAAAAUUAAUAGAAGAACUUUAUGAAAAACAUAAAGAUCCAUUUACUCAGUUUAAUUAUCACUAUAUGUUAAAUUAUGAUACUACAGAAAGUAGUAGUUCCAGUAAUUCAGAUAAUCAAGAAUAUUUAAAUGUAACUAGUUAUAAAUCUGAUGAAGAAAAUACUUCAACAGAUGAGGAUGAAAAUAUAGAAGUCCCCGAACCUAUGGAUACUGAUCAAACAGAUCCUUAUGGUAAAAGAAAAUUAGAAUCAGAUAUUCAAAAAGAUGAUUAUCUGAGAGCUUUAAAUAAAGACUUUGAGACAGUUGAAAAUACAACAAGAAUUUUUGGUAAUCAAACCGAAAAUAUAGCUACUAAUGAAGUUAAAACUGAAUAUACAGGCGAAUCUUCUAAUCAACAACCAAGUCAAACUAUACCUAUACCACAUAGGAUAGAUGAUUUAAAUAAAAGAAAUGUGGCUCAAGGUGGAAUAUAUUUAGACUUGACUAAUAUUUCAAUAUUAGAUUAUGAAAAAACCAUAGACGAUUGGGCACAGUCAAUGACAAUCGUUGUAAACAACAACGGUACUUGGUCAAAAGAAAAUUUUUAAAAUUAUUUUGUAGGAACUUUUCAAGGAGAUGUUUUACAAUUCUUAAGACGUUGGGAAGAAUCAGAAGUAGGAAAAGUCCAAAAAUGACAACUUAUUAAUCAAAUAGGUACUCUUAAAGAUCUUUUAAAAGGAUUAACAAAUAUUCUAAAAACAAAAUUUUGUGGUUAUUUUGAUAAAAAAGAUCAAGAUAGUAUAGCCAGUUAUACUUUGUCAAAAAUUAAAUUAUGUGAUAUAAGAUAUUUAGAAGAAUUUUCUAAAAAAUUUGUUCAUAAAUAUCAAAAAUUAAAAAAUGAAAAUAUAGAAUUUUGGAAAAAUCAAUACUUUCAUAAAUUACCCCCACCAUGGGAUGAGAUAUGUAUAAAAAAUAUGUGUCUUAUUUAGAUAAACAUAGCAAAGAAUUAGGAAUAGCAAAAGAAAAUAUAGAUUCUAUAGGAAAUAGAAUUAAUUUUGUAAAAGAAGGAAUAACUUUACAUUGUUUACAGACUAAAGCUGCUAAACAAGUAAAAAAUAAAUUAACCUAUAGUUAUUGUACAAAAAUUCUAGAAAAUGAAUGGGAAUUUGGAUGUAAAACAAUACAUCCUAAUACUUACAAAAAACAUAAAAAGAAAAAUAGAAAAUAUAAAUUUAUUAGGUGGAAACCAGGAAAUAAAAAAUAUACAGGUAAUAAUAAUAAGAAAAAGAAAAAAUUUAUUAGAAGAAAAACUUCUAGAAAAUCUAAAAAACAAAUAUGUAAAUGUUUUAUAUGUGAUGAAGCAGGCCAUAUAGCACCAAACUGUCAUAAUAAACGAAAAAGUGCUAAAAAAAUGAUUAAAAGUCCUGAAGAACAAGAUUUAGAAAUCUGUUAUGAAGAGGAAAUAAAUCCUGAAGAAAUAUUAUAUGAGUUAAUAUCAGAAACAGAUUCUGAUUCAGAUGAAGAAGAAUAUAUAUUUAUGUUUAAUGUAGUAAAUAGUUCUAAAAAUCAAUUAGAAGAAAUUCCUAAGUCUGAACAACAAGAUAUAAAAUUAGGAAAUUUGAUUGGAGAAGAAAAAGACUUUUCUGAUGAAAUGAUAGAAAAAAUAAAUAAAAAUCAUAUUUCUAAAGAAUAAAUAUAUAAAAUCUCUAAGUUUAAAAUAUGGAGUCAAAGACAUAUAGAAAAAAUUAGUGGCAACACAGUCGCUAAAGAUACUAGAGGUGGAUUAACAGAAAUCCCAUUAUUUACUAAAAAAAAAAUUAAGAGAAUUAAAAAGAAAUACCCUCAAGUUAGAUAUAUACAUUUAGGUAUAAUUAUGAUAACAAUUAGAGCUUUAUUCAGGGAAGGACAUGAUAUACCCAUAAUAGCGGUUUUAUUAGAUAAAAGAUUUGAAAACCCGAUAAAAGCACUUAUUGGUGGAAUUCAGUCUAAUUUACACACUGGAGUAAUAGGAUUUAAAGUUAAACCAAACUAUUUUAUAUCUAUUACAGAUCAUUUAAUAGAAGAAUGCUUAUGUUUAAGAAUUCAGACAAAAAAUUCUGAAAUUAGCGAUUUAGCAGAAGAUCUAGCAAUAAGUUGGACUUCUAUUAAUGAAUAUACCAACAUGGCAGAAGUAGAAAUUAAAGAAAUUAAUAAUAAAAUAAUUGAGUUAUUUGAACCCAAUAAAUUUACUACAGAGAUACAACCAAAAUUAUUACAUUUAAAAGAUCUGUCAAUACCAAAAGAUUGGAUGAUUGAUAGAAUAAGUGGUGCUAGUACUUCAAAACCCGUAAGUACUAUAGAAUAUAUGUCAUCUGGAGAUAAACUAUAUUUUAAAAAUAAUACUAUAACAAAUACAAAUGAUAAUUUAGUUUUACCUUCUAAUACUCAAAUAAAAGAAGAAGAAGAUAAUAUUAGUACAAAUUCAACAACACCUAUAGGUAUGAAAACAGUUCAAAUACUUAUUUUCCCUACUGAACCUAGCAGAAAUUCUAGAAAUACUAGAAUGGAAGAAAUACAGUCUACUACUAUUAUUCAACAAAUGAAAAUGGGAAAAAAUGAUAUUAUUACAUUUUCAAAUUUCCAACCCAGGAAAUAUUAUACAUAUAUAGAAAUUACAUUUCAAUUUAGAGAAUAUAAAACAUAUUCUUUGCAUGCUUUAUUAGAUACUGGAGCUACCACAAGUAAUUGUAGAGAAAAUGCCAUUCCUGUAGAAAAAUGGGAAUUAAUGAAAAAUCCAAUUAGAGCUAUAGGAAUUGAUGGUAAAUUGAUGGUAAAGAAACCUUAAUCCAAUUUAAAGCUAGAAAUAUACCAAUUUACAUAAAUAAUGUAAGAUUUGUAAUUCCUAAAAUAUUGUAUUUUCUUGAAAUGCAUGGAGACAUAUUAUUAGGAAUUAAUUUUAUAUAUCAUCAUUUAUCAUUUUCUAUAGAUAAAAAUCUAGUAAUAUUAAGUUUCCUUUUCUUUUAAACCCUCGCAUAUUAUUUACUCAUGGGCUUUUUGUCAAAACUCUUACAAAUAUGAUUGGGCUUUAUUGGUUGGGUAUUACAAUUGGUUGAUUGGAUUUUUCGCAGUCAAGGGAGGGAACGUUACCUUGAUUGCCUUUCUAACGACAGAUCAUAGUGUUACAAAUGUUUUUUGUUGCUAACCAUUACUUGUGUUUCUUGCGAUUUCAUCAUCCAAGGACUGGGGGUAAUACCACCCUCUAUUACCAUUUCCAUUAAUGGCAAUGAUUUCAUCUAAGGUAAGGGGCAAUACCUACUUCAGUUGGGAGCGUCAUUUUUCUACCUGCUUAUGGUUUGGGUAGGGCUAGCUCCUCCUUUUUUGUUUGCGCUAGCUGCCGGAAGGGAGAUUCACCUUUCUAGACUCUCAAAUCCAAACACCUUCAACGCAUCAAAAAGAUUUUAAUAGCAGAGCCUAAAUCAAGGCAAGACUUUUAAGUUUAGAUCCCUGUCUCAUCUAAUCAUGAAUCUCUUAUUUUUGCAUGGUUUUUCGCUGAGGUUUCCCUAUCAUCUUAUGGUUCUUUUUUGUUUUCUGUUUCUAUUGCCUUUGGGCCGUUGUAUAUAUAUGUUUUCGGCCAUUAAGCCUUUGCAGUUAAAUGCUAUUCUCUCACUU
rnacentral:lncRNA from 1 species